rnacentral:rRNA from 1 species
CCUUUGACGUUAGCGGCGGACGGGUGAGUAACACGUGGGUAACCUACCUAUAAGACUGGGAUAACUUCGGGAAACCGGAGCUAAUACCGGAUAAUAUUUCGAACCGCAUGGUUCGAUAGUGAAAGAUGGUUUUGCUAUCACUUAUAGAUGGACCCGCGCCGUAUUAGCUAGUUGGUAAGGUAACGGCUUACCAAGGCGACGAUACGUAGCCGACCUGAGAGGGUGAUCGGCCACACUGGAACUGAGACACGGGUCCAGACUCCUACGGGAGGCAGCAGAG